rnacentral:tRNA from 1 species
UCUCCGAUAGCUCAGUCGGUAGAGAGACGGAGUGUUAAUCCGUGGGUCGUUGGUUCGAGUCCAACUCGGAGAG